UUCUAUGCUGGGGCAGACCUCUGUGUAGGUACCUGGCUUGAGCCAGCCCUUUUAUUAUUUUACUCCAUUAAAUAUUUUUCCUGAAAAUUUUGCUUCCUGAAAGUCUACUUUGCAUGCAAUUAUGGGUCUCCCCUGAAAGGUUGCCUUUGGAGCUCUAAGUAGAGGCUCUGGAGCAAACAGUUGUCAGGGGAAGAAGAACCCUGAAUGUUUGCAUCGUGAUGGAUACACGCGUGGCCUGAGAGUUUGCCUUUGGAGCUUCAAACUACAGCCUCUGGAGUGAACAGUCCUCAGGGAGAGAAGACGCCUGAAGGUUUGUUUCGUGAACAAAUACGUGCAACUGGAAGGAAGACGAUGACAUGUCAAGCUGGACUGGACCAUGAGCUUGGAUCCUUAAUGAACACCCAGGGCUAUAGACUCUGUGCUCUCACACAAAAGAAGUCCUCACAACAUGCUUGUGCCUCAAGGAAGAGCAGUUGCUGGCAAAUGAACAGCAGUCAUCAUCUGUUGAUGUUAUUGUUCAUUACUAGCACAGACACA